rnacentral:misc_RNA from 1 species
UUUCCGUAGGUGAACCUGCGGAAGGAUCAUUAACACGUAUCCACGUAUCAACCCCUCUGUGCAACCCACAUCAGAAAGGUUUGGUCUUAGUGCACGGUUCGCAUGAGUCCUAACGAUGCGGCCCCUCUCGGGGGGCCAGGGCUCGAGCUGUGUGUGUUUGACGAUCAACCGUUACUUUUUCAUCGUUGGCCCCUUUAACCAUUUUAACCCCUUGUACUCUUUUGUACUGAACCAUUCUUCGAUGCUCUCUUUGAGAGUGACGAAAGAUAUUACGAAACUUAAGAACAACUCUUAGCAACGGAUAUCUUGGUUCCC